rnacentral:rRNA from 1 species
AAUAGAUACCCGGGUAGUCCACGCCGUAAACGAUGAGUGCUAAGUGUUAGAGGGUUUCCGCCCUUUAGUGCUGCAGCUAACGCAUUAAGCACUCCGCCUGGGGAGUACGGCCGCAAGGCUGAAACUCAAAGGAAUUGACGGGGGCCCGCACAAGCGGUGGAGCAUGUGGUUUAAUUCGAAGCAACGCGAAGAACCUUACCAGGUCUUGACAUCCUCUGACAACCCUAGAGAUAGGGCUUUCCCCUUCGGGGGACAGAGUGACAGGUGGUGCAUGGUUGUCGUCAGCUCGUGUCGUGAGAUGUUGGGUUAAGUCCCGCAACGAGCGCAACCCUUGAUCUUAGUUGCCAGCAUUCAGUUGGGCACUCUAAGGUGACUGCCGGUGACAAACCGGAGGAAGGUGGGGAUGACGUCAAAUCAUCAUGCCCCUUAUGACCUGGGCUACACAUGUGCUACAAUGGAUGGUACAAAGGGCUGCAAACCUGCGAAGGUAAGCGAAUCCCAUAAAGCCAUUCUCAGUUCGGAUUGCAGG